AGUCACUCUCAGAGGAAAGGGAGGUCUGAGUAGAGAUUGCACUUGCUUCCUGAGAAGAGGGAGGUUCUUUUUAGGAACUGGUAGGCCUAGGAAGAAAAGGGGAACCAGCAGUAGAAAGAAGCCCAGGGUUAUACCAGUGAGGCUAUAAAGAGAAAUGGCUUAGACUGCUGAGUUGAGGGAACCUAGGCUGGAACCUGGAGAAGAUGACAGGUCUGAGUUCCCUGAUCAGUCACUGGGUGAAGGACACAGAGGCAGUGAAUAGGAAGACUGUGUAGGACUAUUGAGGUGCUAAACCUUCCUGGAAGGGGGGGAACAUGGACAGUAACAUGGCUGAAAGGCUGAGCCAUGAAGAGGACAUGGGGGUUCCUGAGGCUGUGAGAGGAGCUGCAGGCAGAGUGAUGGUGUGCAAAUCAGAUGGGAGGGAUCUCCAUCUUGAGGUAAUCUCCAGUAUACCAGGAGGAGGUACCAGUCUGAUGGUGAGUGGUGCACCCUGUGACAGUGUCAUAAAUUUGAAUUGCUACAGAUUUUAUAAAAUUAAUGUUGGGUAAACUUUUCAAAAACCUAAAAAUUGGAUCAACCUUGCUUCAUCACACAGGUUUUAUGAAAAAUUCCUCACCCUGUGUGAGGUAGGUAGGUUGGUUGAUCUAACCCCUAGUGUAGAUGCAGCUAAAUUGACAAGAUUUACUCCACUGAGCUAGCUACUGCCUCUUGGGGUGGAGUAGAUUCCCUACAGUGCAGGAAGAAUCCUUCUGUUGUUGUUAUGCUACAAAGAUGUAGCUGAAGUGCUGCUGUAUGCUUGUAGUGUACACUUAGUCUUUGUCACACUGAAGAUCACUGGGACAUAGGCUCCCAAGUGCCUAGCUGCUUUUGAUCUUGCUCAAAUACUUUUUCCUAAUAGAGCUGAACAAUGUUAUUUAAAGGCUUUUCUACAUUUUUUUUUAGUUGCUAAGAGGCAAAGGUAAAAUAAGGAACGCAACUCCUUGUGAAGCUCAUGCAGUCCAUUCUAGACUAUAAAUAGAUGAUAUCCCUAUGGAAAGCUAUGAAUAUUCUCUUCAGCAGAGUACAUCCUGACUUUGUGCCUAAGAGGAUGUCAAACAAAGUCGUUGGGGUUUUUUCCAUAAACAUGAAACUGUGACAUAAUUGUGUACUCUUAAUAUGUCAACUAUUUGGCAAGACUUGGAAGUAGCAAACAUUUUGAUCACUUAAUUGACUUGCUGUUAGCAUAGUUGGCAAGUAGAGUCCUGAUAAACUACAAGUUAAACUAAAAAGGAAAGCAGCAAACUAUUGAAUA